rnacentral:rRNA from 1 species
AGUGAACGCUGGCGGUAGGCCUAACACAUGCAAGUCGAACGGCAGCACAGUAAGAGCUUGCUCUUACGGGUGGCGAGUGGCGGACGGGUGAGGAAUACAUCGGAAUCUACUUUUUCGUGGGGGAUAACGUAGGGAAACCUACGCUAAUACCGCAUACGACCUACGGGUGAAAGCAGGGGAUCUUCGGACCUUGCGCGAUUGAAUGAGCCGAUGUCGGAUUAGCUAGUUGGCGGGGUAAAGGCCCACCAAGGCGACGAUCCGUAGCUGGUCUGAGAGGGUGAUCAGCCACACUGGAACUGAGACACGGUCCAGACUCCUACGGGAGGCAGCAGUGGGGAAUAUUGGACAAAGGGCGCAAGCCUGAUCCAGCCAUACCGCGUGGGUGAAGAAGGCCUUCGGGUUGUAAAGCCCUUUUGUUGGGAAAGAAAAGCAGCAGGUUAAUACCCCGCUGUUCUGACGGUACCCAAAGAAUAAGCACCGGCUAACUUCGUG